CAGUAGCCGCGGGAAAACGUAGGGGGCGAGCGUUGUCCGAAGUUACUGGGCGUAAAGCGCGCGUAGGCGGCUUCUUAAGUCUGAGGUGAAAGGUCCAACGCUUAACGUGAACAGUGCCUUGGAUACUGGGGAGCUUGAGUAUGGGAGAGGGCAGUGGAAUGGCUGGUGUAGCGGUGAAAUGCGUAGAUAUCAGUCGGAACACCCAUGGCGAAGGCAGCUGCCUGGCCUAAUACUGACGCUGAGGUGCGAAAGCGUGGGGAGCGAACGGGAUUAGAUACCCCGGUAGUCCCUGUCUCUUAUA
rnacentral:rRNA from 1 species